CCCCUUGAGCCGCGCCGCGCCUGGCCCUAUAUAAGCUCUGUUCCCGGCAACGGGGACUAUGGACAUAAACGCGCUCGUAAUACGCGGCUCGGACCCGGGGGCGGUACCCGGCGGCUCCACCAAACUUCCCUCAUUGGGGGCGAAUGGGGCCGAAACAGGAUCGACGAACGUUUAAAGGGGUUUGCUUUGUCCCGGUGAGGUACCACCGUUAUCGGUCCGAAACGUACAGUUGCCAAUGACAACCGUGCUCCGGUGGCCGUCGCUGCGUAAGCAGUUGACCAAAACCGAUCUUAAGCCCUUGCGCUUAGCCGCGUAAGGCGGGGUUCGCAGGUACCUGGCAACAGAAACCUGCACU
rnacentral:tmRNA from 1 species